GACGAACGCUGGCGGCGUGCUUAACACAUGCAAGUCGAACGAAGAGCGAUGGAAGCUUGCUUCUAUCAAUCUUAGUGGCGAACGGGUGAGUAACGCGUAAUCAACCUGCCCUUCAGAGGGGGACAACAGUUGGAAACGACUGCUAAUACCGCGUACGAUCUAAUCUCGGCAUCGAGGAUAGAUGAAAGGUGGCCUCUACAUGUAAGCUAUCACUGAAGGAGGGGAUUGCGUCUGAUUAGCUAGUUGGAGGGGUAACGGCCCACCAAGGCGAUGAUCAGUAGCCGGUCUGAGAGGAUGAACGGCCACAUUGGGACUGAGACACGGCCCAGACUCCUACGGGAGGCAGCAGUGGGGAAUCUUCCGCAAUGGACGAAAGUCUGACGGAGCAACGCCGCGUGAGCGAUGACGGCCUUCGGGUUGUAAAGCUCUGUUAAUCGGGACGAAAGGCCUUCUUGCGAAUAGUGAGAAGGAUUGACGGUACCGGAAUAGAAAGCCACGGCUAACUGCGUG
rnacentral:rRNA from 1 species